rnacentral:tRNA from 5 species
GGGGGCGUAGCUCAGUUGGUUAGAGCGCCGGCCUGUCACGCCGGAGGCCGCGGGUUCGAGUCCCGUCGCUCCCGCCA